GAUGAACGCUGGCGGCGUGCCUAAUACAUGCAAGUCGAGCGAACAGACGAGGAGCUUGCUCCUCUGACGUUAGCGGCGGACGGGUGAGUAACACGUGGAUAACCUACCUAUAAGACUGGGAUAACUUCGGGAAACCGGAGCUAAUACCGGAUAAUAUAUUGAACCGCAUGGUUCAAUAGUGAAAGACGGUUUUGCUGUCACUUAUAGAUGGAUCCGCGCCGCUUUAGCUAGUUGGUAAGGUAACGGCUUACCAAGGCAACGAUGCGUAGCCGACCUGAGAGGGUGAUCGGCCACACUGGAACUGAGACACGGUCCAGACUCCUACGGGAGGCAGCAGUAGGGAAUCUUCCGCAAAGGGCGAAAGCCUGACGGAGCAACGCCGCGUGAGUGAUGAAGGUCUUCGGAUCGUAAAACUCUGUUAUUAGGGAAGAACAAAUGUGUAAGUAACUAUGCACGUCUUGACGGUACCUAAUCAGAAAGCCACGGCUAACUACGUG
rnacentral:rRNA from 1 species